GGUGAGUAACACGUGAGCAACGUGCCCAAGACUCUGGAAUAACUUCGGGAAACCGGAGCUAAUACUGGAUACGAGACGUAAAGGCAUCUUUAGCGUCUGGAAAGAAUUUCGGUCUUGGAUCGGCUCACGGCCUAUCAGCUUGUUGGUGAGGUAAUGGCUCACCAAGGCGACGACGGGUAGCCUGCCUGAGAGGGUGGACGGCCACAUUGGGACUGAGAUACGGCCCAG
rnacentral:rRNA from 1 species